UUUAUUUUGUAUUGUUUAUUUAUUUUUUACUGUUGUAUGUUUGCUGUUGUCUUUCAAGUAUCACCACUGUUGAUAUUUUGUACUGAUUUGUAUGUUCUUGUUUUCAGCAAAAAAAAAAAGAAAUACUGUGAAGGGUUGGGGUAGGUGUAGACUUUAAUAAAACAAUAAAUAGGUCGAUUUAUUAUUUUUUUUACCGGAAUAACUUUUACCCAGCUGCACCAAUCAUGAUUUUUAAAACCUGGAAAUGCGAAAUUGACCUAUCAGAGCAAAGUUGGUCAAAAGGCGCAAUUAUAAUUUGCCAUGCUUCAUGGGAUUGCAGUUUUAUUUACCCAGAUAGCCGUGACACAAAUAGUCUCGUAUUGCCUUUAUGACAAAUUUCCGAAUAUUUUAUUUUGUUCAGAUCGAAUAUUUCACAUGUUUUAUUUCAAGUUUCUAUCAAAAAUGAUCAAAUCUCCAACUGGGAAAAGUGAAUAAAAGACUCCAGGAACUGUCUGUUGAAAAAGUGGGCGGACGCAGUCUUGCUCGGAAACAGCCACUCGCACUAAACCCGGGAAAGCCAGCAGAGUUGAUGUUUCACAUUGUUGUCUUUGACAAGACAAAUGAGGUUGAAGUUGUGCCUUCAGUCUGGAUUAAAAAUGGAGAGUACAUGUGGCCUCCAAAUAAGUGAUAUAACAAAAGCUGUAAAAUCGCAAGAGAGUCCAGGAGAUGAUUGGAAGCCCCAUAAGGCCAGAAUUAUUUUCACAUCAUUUGACUACAAGGAAGCAAGACGUAAACUACCUUUAGCUGUUGAUCACACAGACAUUGAUCAGACCGAUGGAGGGAACUCACCCAUUACAUUUCAAAGAAAAAGAAAACCCAAGAACAUUCUUUUCCCUGGAGAAGAUGAUGAUAGUGAGGUGAAAGGACAAAAGAAAGAACCAAAGUCAAAAAAAGG